CCCCAGGCGGUCUACUUAUCGCGUUAACUGCGUCACUAAGCCUUUAAAAGACCCAACGACUGGUAGACAUCGUUUACGGCGUGGACUACCAGGGUAUCUAAUCCUGUUUGCUACCCACGCUUUCGAACCUCAGUGUCAGUAUGAUGCCAGAAAGCUGCCUUCGCCAUCGGUAUUCCUCCAGAUCUCUACGCAUUUCACCGCUACACCUGGAAUUCUACUUUCCUCUCACCUACUCUAGUUUAUCAGUAUCAGAUGCAGUUCCUAGGUUAAGCCCAGGGAUUUCACAUCUGACUUAAUAAACCACCUACGCUCGCUUUACGCCCAGUAAUUCCGAUUAACGCUUGCACCCUCUGUAUUACCGCGGCUGCUGGCACAGAGUUAGCCGGUGCUUAUUCUGUGGGUAACGUCAGAACCUAUGGGUGUUAUCCAUAAGCUUUUCCUCCCCACUUAAAGUGCUUUACAACCAUAAGGCCUUCUUCACACACGCGGCAUGGCUGGAUCAGGCUUUCGCCCAUUGUCCAAUAUUCCCCACUGCUGCCU
rnacentral:rRNA from 1 species